AACGCGAAGAACCUUACCUGGGUUUGACAUCCCACGAAGAUUGCAGAGAUGUAAUUGACCCGCAAGGGACGUGGAGACAGGUGCUGCAUGGCUGUCGUCAGCUCGUGUUGUGAAAUGUUGGGUUAAGUCCCGCAACGAGCGCAACCCUUGCCUUUGGUUGCCAUCAUUUAGUUGGGCACUCCAGAGGGACUGCCGUCGUCAAGACGGAGGAAGGUGGGGAUGACGUCAAGUCCUCAUGGCCUUUAUAUCCAGGGCGACACACGUGAUACAAUGGUAGGUACAAAGGGCAGCCAAGUGGUGACACGGAGCCAAUCCCAAAAAGCCUAUCUCAGUUCGGAUUGGAGUCUGCAACUCGACUCCAUGAAGUUGGAAUCGCUAGUAAUCGCGGAUCAGCACGCCGCGGUGAAUACGUUCCCGGGCCUUGUACACACCGUGUCGA
rnacentral:rRNA from 1 species